UACGUAGGGGGGCUAGCGUUGUCCGGAAUCAUUGGGCGUAAAGAGCGUGUAGGCGGCCCGGUAAGUCCGCUGUGAAAGUCGGGGGCUCAACCCUCGAAUGCCGGUGGAUACUGUCGGACUAGAGUCCGGAAGAGGCAAGUGGAAUUCCCGGUGUAGCGGUGAAAUGCGCAGAUAUCGGGAGGAACACCAAUGGCGAAGGCGGCUUCCUGGUCUGUAACUGACACUGAGGCGCGAAAGCGUGGGGAGCAAACAGG
rnacentral:rRNA from 1 species